UACAGAGGGUGCAAGCGUUAAUCGGAAUUACUGGGCGUAAAGAGCACGUAGGUGGUCCUGCAAGUCAGAUGUGAAAGCCCCAGGCUUAACCUGGGAACUGCAUUUGAUACUGCGAGACUAGAGUAGGAUAGAGGAAGGCGGAAUUUCCGGUGUAGCGGUGAAAUGCGUAGAUAUCGGAAGGAACACCAGUGGCGAAGGCGGCUUUCUGGAUUCAUACUGACACUGAGGUGCGAAAGCGUGGGGAGCAAACAGG
rnacentral:rRNA from 1 species